UGGGUUCAGGACUCUUCUCUCAGGCAUAGGACCCCUCCCUGGUGCACAAUGGUGAUGUCACUAUCUCUCAGCUCAGGCAACAGAAACAACAGGAAUGGAUGCCACACUGAUUCAGCUCCUUGAUGGGCACACUAGUGGGAUGAAGUCAGGAAAUACGUGCCCACUCAUCACAAAGCUGUGGUGGCUCAGUUCUGAGAGGAGGGCUAAGCCCAACAUGUGUGCCUGUAAUUCCCACAUUAAGUCAUUAGUGACAAAUCACAUACUAUCAAAUGCUUAAAGCCAGCUCUUUGAGUGUGUGGGGUGCAUCACAAUGUUUCAUUAGCACAACAGGAGCACUGCUUUGAGACUAGAAUGUGGCAGGGUGUUUACAGUAUCGCCGCUUCUUGGGUGGCUGUGGUGUGUGCCUGAUGAUUAACACUGCAGGCAAAAAUAUCAAAAGAAGAGCAUAAAACAAUCUCAGGGAAAAGAAAACCGCAGGAAGAAAGCUGUCACGUGAUGUGUUUGACUUCACAAAGGAAUCUUUACUGGUGAUUAGAGCCUUUCAAGCCUCCAUCACUCAGGAUGUGAAAUUCUAAUCCAGAAGCAUGGCCAGUAGAGCCUGUGACUUCAUCACAUAUGCUGGCUAGCUGAAACAGGAGGCAUUUUUCUGCUUCCUUACUUGGGGAUUACGUCGCAGACUGGCUCCUCACUUGCAAUUAUGCCAAUCACUUGCUGUGCAAGCUGAGAAAACUCUGGGGUGUGGGGGGAGCCAGGGGGCACCAAGCUGAGUUCACCAGAUGAAAAGUUCCAUCACCAGCUCACCUCCCGUCUCCUCGGUCUUCAGGGAAUGGCUGAAUUUUACAUAAAGUCUAUUUAUAAACCCCUGCAAGUGAUACUUGCAUUCAUCUCGUAAUGUGACAUCAUCUCGUUAAUAAUUUAGGCCUAAGAAAUAGAUUGAAGGGACUCUAAAGGAACUUCACAUACGCGGAAGAGCAGAAAUCACCCCAGUCUCUUACCUUGCUCUUUGAUCUGGCGAAUCUGCUUCACAGUUUCUUUUAAGAUUGCACAUUUGUCAGGUUUGAAGUUGAAGUUGUCGAUAUCAUUAAAAUUUGCAAAAAUCA